rnacentral:rRNA from 1 species
UAGGGAAUCUUCGGCAAUGGACGGAAAAGUCUGACCGAGCAACGCCGCGUGAGUGAAGAAGGUUUUCGGAUCGUAAAACUCUGUUGGUAGAGAAGAACGUUGGUGAGAGUGGAAAGCUCAUCAAGUGACGGUAACUACCCAGAAAGGGACGGCUAACUACGUGCCAG